rnacentral:lncRNA from 1 species
CAGCAUGUAGACACCGGGAUCAGAUGGCAGUAAGUGGCAGUCUGGGCUUCUAGGUUAGUCCUGGACUGUAGGGCAGUGGGCUGUGCACAGACAACCUGGUCUCCAGUGGAGCAAAGGUCUUGAACCCCGGCAGGGUUGGGACGGAAGGUGUUUUGAUCAUGUCUCCUGGACCCCUGGCUCCUGUCAAAGUUACCACCCCCACAGCCCACGCAGGAGAGGUGUCUAUCAGCCUCGAAGACAAUGUCCCAAGCUCCCAGCAUUCUAGCCAGGUUGGCUCUGAAGUUGUGAUCCUCCUGCAUCAACCUGCUGAGUAGCUGGGACUACAGGUGUUAAAAGCCAACAUGAUUACCC